rnacentral:rRNA from 1 species
UUUGAAAUCUGGCGUCUUUGGCGUCCGAGUUGUAAUUUGAAGAAGGUAUCUUUGGGCCCGGCUCUUGUCUAUGUUCCUUGGAACAGGACGUCACAGAGGGUGAGAAUCCCGUGCGAUGAGAUGACCCGGGUCUGUGUAAAGUUCCUUCGACGAGUCGAGUUGUUUGGGAAUGCAGCUCUAAGUGGGUGGUAAAUUCCAUCUAAAGCUAAAUAUUGGCGAGAGACCGAUAGCGAACAAGUACAGUGAUGGAAAGAUGAAAAGAACUUUGAAAAGAGAGUGAAAAAGUACGUGAAAUUGUUGAAAGGGAAGGGCUUGAGAUCAGACUUGGUAUUUUGCAUGUUGCUCUCUCGGGGGCGGCCGCUGCGGUUUACCGGGCCAGCAUCGGUUUGGAGCGGCAGGAUAAUGGCGGAGGAAUGUGGCACGGCUUCUGCUGUGUGUUAUAGCCUCUGACGAUACUGCCAGCCUAGACCGAGGACUGCGGUUUUUACCUAGGAUGUUGGCAUAAUGAUCUUAAGUCGCCCGUCU